AAUUGCCAUUGUGACUGCAAGGCUGGAGUGCGGCAGAGGGGGAUGGAAUUCCGCGUGUAGCAGUGAAAUGCGUAGAUAUGCGGAGGAACACCGAUGGCGAAGGCAAUCCCCUGGGCCUGCACUGACGCUCAUGCACGAAAGCGUGGGGAGCAAACAGGAUUAGAUACCCUGGUAGUCCACGCCCUAAACGAUGUCAACUGGUUGUUGGGAAUACACUGUCAUCGUCUGAGCGAAAGCAUUAAGUGACCCACCUGGGGAGUACGACCGCGAGGUUGCAACUCAAAGUAAUUGACGGGCGCCCGCACAGGCGGAGGAGCUUGUGUUUUAUUACGAUGAUACGCGAAGCAUCUUUCGUGUCAAAGAUGGGAAGACGUUUCUUAAAGACAGCAUACCUUUCUUCGCUUUUUAUUAAGAGCUGCUGCGUUGUUGUCCGCUCUUGUGUCGGGGGGUGUCGUUAAUAUCCCACAACAGGCGCACCCCCUAUUAUUAGUUGCCCCCCAGUUAAAAGUGGGGGCCACUCUUGGAACGCCCUCCCCCCGAUUUGUCAAAAAAUUUUUAUAUCAUAAAAAAUGAACGGGUCUUUUAUCCAGGGUUUACACAUGUUUAAAAGUGCGCGGAACAAGGGACAUUUACUUGUGGACGGGGCCGCUAUUCUGAAAAGCGGUCUCUGUUGGGAUCGAAGUUCUGCCCCCCGA
rnacentral:rRNA from 1 species